rnacentral:rRNA from 1 species
CCUACGGGUGGCUGCAGUGAGGAAUAUUGGUCAAUGGACGCAAGUCUGAACCAGCCAUGCCGCGUGCAGGAAGACGGCUCUAUGAGUUGUAAACUGCUUUUGUACGAGGGUAAACGCAGAUACGCGUAUCUGUCUGAAAGUAUCGUACGAAUAAGGAUCGGCUAACUCCGUGCCAGCAGCCGCGGUAAUACGGAGGAUUCAAGCGUUAUCCGGAUUUAUUGGGUUUAAAGGGUGCGUAGGCGGUCGGAUAAGUUAGAGGUGAAAUCCCGAGGCUCAACUUCGGAAUUGCCUCUGAUACUGUUCGGGUGGGGAGUGGUUGCGGUAGGCGGAAUGUAUGGGGUAGCGGUGAAAUGCUGAGAGGUCAUACAGAACAGCGAUUGCGAAGGCAGCUGAGGAAGCUACUGGGGACGUUGAGGCACGAAAGGGUGGGGAGCAAACAGGAUUAGAUACCCGGGUAGUG